rnacentral:lncRNA from 1 species
UAGGCCCCGCCCUGAUCUCGCCCCCUCUUCACCGUCCGGCCCCGGCCCCGCCCCGCGGUGGGGCCUCCGCAGCGACCCGCGGUUAACGCUUCCCCAGAGCUUGGGCUGCGCGGCGGCCGGGAGUCGGAGGCAGGCGGUCAAGGCCGGCAGGGCCGGACCCCCUACUUGCCCUUUCUCCCAGCAGGCGCUGGACUCUGGGGGCGGGCGUGAGCCCCUCCGUCCCGCACCCAGACCCGGGCAGCGAGCCCUAUGCCUGCAGUAAUUGUGGGGUUUCUGGUUUUGUUUUUUCCUUAACAUCUUUAUUGAGACCGUUAAGUUCACCCGCUUAAAGCGCACGAUUCGGUGGGGUUUUGUUGCGAGCAACCGUGGCCACUAUCUAAUUCCAGAGCAUUUCACCUCCUUAAAAUGAAGCUGGGCCCGGCCGGGCGCGGUGGCUCAAGCCUGUAAUCCCAGCACUUUGAGAGGCCGAGGAGGAAGGAUCACCUGAGGUCAAGAGUUCGAGACCAGCCUGGCCAACAUAGUGAAACCGCGUCUCUACUAAAAAUACAAAAAUUAGCCGGCCGUGGUGAGCGCCUGUAGUCCCAGCUACCCGGGAGUCUGAGGCAGUAGAAUCGCUUGAACCCAAGAGGCAGAGGUUGCAGUGAGGCGAGAUCGUGCCAUUGCACCCCAGCCCGGGCAACAGAGCGAGACUCUGCCUCAAAAACAAACAAAAAAGAAGCCGGUCCCCAUCCGCAGUGACUCGCGUUUCCCUCCCCCUCCCCCGUCCCCGGCAACCGUGCAUCUACUUUCUAUUCCUAUGGAGUUGCCAGUUCUGGCUCUUCCUGUGAAUGGAUUCCCAUGCUGUGUAUUUUCGUGUCUGAAUUCUCUGACUUUCGUCUCAGCCCGCACCCACGCUGCCGCAGUCCGCGCUCGCUGCUUUUAGGCUGAACGCGGCUGCGCCGUGCGGGUGCCCGCGCUCCGGGCGCCCCUCGCAGGUUCAGCCCCGGGUUGGGGGCGGCGCUUGCCUCGCGGCUGCGGGUCCCAGCCUGAACCUGUGUCUUGUUCCACUGCCGCGGGCGCCCGCCACGGAGCUGCUGCUUCCUAGGGAGACGGUUCCAUCGUUGAAGGAACGGCCAGACUGUCUUUCGCAGCAGCGGCCCAUCUGACCGCACAGCACGACCGCACGAGGGUCCCGAGCCCUGACCCUCGCAGCACUCGUCACCCCGGCCGCGUGGUUGUGGCGGUCUCGGCGGGGCAGGGGGUCCCCACGCGGGCUGAUUCUAGUUUCGCGUGACCGAUGGUGCUCAUUAGCCAUAUCUGUACAUCUUUUUUUUUUUUUCGAGUCGGAGUUUCGCUCUUGUUGCCCAGGCUGGAUUGCAAUGGCGCGAUCUCGGCUCACUGCCUCCCGGGUUCAAGCGAUUCUCCUGCCUCAGCCUCCCGAGUAACUGGGAUUACAGGCGCCCGCCACUACGCCCGGCUACUUUUUUUGUAUUUUUAGUAGAGACGGGGUUAUACGAUGUUGGCCAGGCUUGUCUCGAACUCCUGACCUCAGGUGAUCCGCCCGCCUCGGCCCCCCAAAGUGCUGGGAUUACAGGCGUGAGCCACCGCGCCCGGCCCAUCUGUACAUCUUCUUUGGAAAAAUGUGUAUCCAAAUCCUUAGCCGUUUUAUAGUUAGAUUGUCUUUUUAUUAUCGAGUUAUAAGAAUUAUUUAUACCUUCUACAAGGAAGUUCAUUAUCAGAUAUAGGAUUUGCAAAUAUUUUCUCUCAUCUGUGGGUCGUCUUUUCACUUUUCUGAUGGUUUCCUUUGAAGCACAGACUUUUUUGUUUGGGUGCAGUGUAUUUCUUACUGUGCUUUAAAGAGGAACACGUUUUAAGAACCCCCGCGCGGGGCGGAGCAGGGCGGAGUCCCCGGCGGGAAGGGACCCGAG